UUACAAAUAUUUAACCCCAUCCACAGGCUCACAGGUUAACCCUUGACCCCAAGCUGGCGGUGCUGCUUUGGGAGGUGGUGGAAGCUGUAGGAGGCAGGGCCUCAGUUGAGGAAGUGGGUCAGCAUGGCUCUGCAUUCUCAAGACACAACAAUCCAGAGGCAGUGACAUGAAUGCUUGCUCCGUGGACAGGUGGAAAAAUGACUGGGGAUAAAGGAUGGAUGAGAGCAGGACCUGCUGUCUCACAGCAGCGCCACACAGAACCCCACCUGCUGUGGAAUGCACACGAGCCAUUUUAGAGCAUGGGGGAAAUGUGGUAAAAUCCUUUAAAAUCUUCCUGACGAGUAAAUUCCUGGAAAGCAAUUAAUGUGGAAGGCUUUCAGGGACCAGAGGGAGUGGCAGAUAGCUUGAAUCCUGUUUCCUGAGUGGUCAGCCACGGACAUCACUCCAAACCAGGUAGCAAAGAGUGUGCUUUUUACAUCUCUGUUCUAGGAAGAACAUUUGCACAACUUCUAGCAACAUUCUUGGGUCAGUGGCCAUGACCCUGAGGCAAUGCUUAGCGCUACAGUGAUCGUUUGACUCCACACGGUACUACAAAAAGUGAAGCAGUGAAAGCCCUGGGCCACACCAACAAGCACGUGACAAGAGAGACGCUUGCUCAUACGACAGAGGCCUGCAUCCCUUAGGCAGAGUACUGACCAUGAUUGGAUGCGAAUGGAAGAAUGUCAACUAAGGAUUGUGUCUAUAUAGAAAAUCAUUAGCCAAACACCACAGGGCUAAUUAAUGUCAUUUGAAAUACUUUCUGUGUAUGUUGAAUAGAGUGCCGCCAUUAUCAUCUGGCCAAACGAAAUGCCUGCCCAUAAACAACAUGGAGCUAUUUAACAGGAUAGCUAAUUACAUCUCGUCUCACAGCCCCAACUGAUCCUAAGCAACAACUCCCUAAGCUGUGUUGUAGUGCAAGGUAGCCUAAGGCUCUGGGGCAGUUACUGAAUCAUGAGAUUUUACUGUUAGAACUUGUUCGGUGUGUUUAAAAACCACCAAAAUAUUGAAUGGAGUAAAGUUACUAGGGAGACCGCAGCUUGGAAAGAGGCAGAGGAGAUCAAGAUAGAGAGGGACACUUCAAAAGCCACGCUCGGGCUCACAGGCACCUGGCACGAAGCUAAGAAUGCUGGGGGAAUGGGAGGGAAAGUACCAAGCCCUGUGCUUUGCUCCAGGUCACCUGGUUCUAUGCGGCACCCUUGUGGGUGGCCUGUGGCAUCUAUGGCUGGAGGCAGCUGCAUGUGUUUCCAUGGUCUUCAGGUGGCAGGUUCUCUUUUUACCAAGCACUUUGUAUAAACUGUUCCCUUCAGCCUUCCUUCUUCACAUACAUUCUAUAGGAGGUUUAUUUUGGGCCCAAGGCGUGCUUCUCUCUGCAUUUGAUCUCAAAGCAAGCUCGUUGAAAAGAGGACCAGAGACCUAGACAAACCUUAUGGACUUGUGUCAUCCUUCUAUGUAUGCAAGAGACACAUUCCAGGUCCCCCCAUAGGCACCCAAGUUCUCACAUGCUCCGCUGUGGCAUUGCCAUAGAUCUGUACACAUCCCAGUGUGUGUAUUUUGAAUUGUCUCUAGACAAGUUUUGAUGAUAUUGCUGUGUCCAUGCCAGGGAGACAUUUGUUAAUGCUGCAUUGUGUUGGGGAUAAAGACAAGGGGAAAGCCACUCAUGCUCUGUGCAGAGGCAUUUUCAGUAAUCCCCCACCAUGGGGGAGGGAGGUCAGUUAAACCCUAGUGUCCAGGUUGGCUUUUUACUGCUGUGAUAAACACCAUGACCAAAAGCAAAUUGGGGAGAAAAGACUUCAUCUUAUGGCUUAUCGUGCAUCAUCCAGCAAGGCCAGGGCAGGAACUUGAGACAGGGACCUGGAAGGACGUACGAACUAAAGCAGAGACCAUAGAGGAAUGCUACUUACUCUCUUGCCUCCACUGCUUGUUCAUACAGCUCAGGACCACCUCCCACAACGAACUCCAUCCCCCAACCCACGUCCACCUUUAAUCAAGAGUCUUUCCUACAAACCAAUCUAAUGGAGGUAGUUUCUCAGCUGAGUGCUACUCCUCUACUAGUUUGUGUCAGGUUGACAAAUACUAACUAGCACCCUGGAUACAGCAGAUGUCAUGGAUACAAAGGGCUGGCUGCAGUGAUGGGACACUGGCCACCUUACUACCUUACUUCCUACCUACGAUGUGUCAAAGUCCAUCUCACUUUAAACCUAAAGGAGAAAAUAAUUUUGAAUAUUUUUCUUGAUUUUUUUCCCCAAAUGGGAUAUGGGAAAAAAGUACAACAUUACUGGGUCAUUAUUGUUCGUUUUCAGAACAAUGACAGAAUCUGAAAUCAUAUGGGAAAUGGACUCUGGGUUGGAACCCAGAACCUUGUCCCUCCCACUUAGGCAUGUGCUCUUACACUGAGCUACACCCUUGGCCUCAUACCUUCAUUUCUAAAAAUAAUGCCAAUGUGUAAUUGUGAGGAUUAAAGUAACAUGGAGACAAAUGAGUACACACUUCAUGUGCAUCAAAGCGGAGUCAUGCUAGGAAUUGCCUGGAGUGGACAUCUGUCUUAGGAGUUGCCAGGGAUGCUCAUAAUGACUCACAAAGUCUUCAGUGUGCUCCUUGACAUACAGUUUGUGUCACUGGUAUGGUCUUGGCCAGCUGCUCUCCAAUGUUUCCUCUAACUGGCUGCUCUCUGGACAUACCAUGAACCCCUCUGAGAACAAGCUUUUGCAGUGUAUCAGGGCCAACACCACUUGGCUUUUGAGAUGCUAUCUAUGUUUUCCAGCUACAGUGGUUUGUGACAUGCCUGGGCCUGUCCCAGUCUAUCCUAUGGAGACUGUUUACCUGCCUUUUUAAUGCUACAUACAUAUUCAGGUAAGCAGCCUGACGAUGAAUGAUGGCUGUAAGAAGCCAUUUCCAACAGUAGGUUGGGGUCUUGGUGGAUCUCAUGAUGCUCUUCUGUGGGGCUUCUGUAGACUUCAAGGACCAGUAAGCAGUUUUCACCCACAUGGGGGUAUGAGAUGUGAGAGGUGUUUUCUUGCUUUGUUCUCUUACAACUUUUCAAAUUAUAUGAAUGUAAUAAAAAGCAUACAUUAUUAAAAAUUUUAACUAGGUAUUUCACAUAUGGAGCUGUGAAGAAUUUCUUUUGGUGCCAAAAUGUCAUAAGGAAAAAAAGUAUGAGCUUUGUGAUUUGUGGACCUGCUAUGUAGGCAAUCUUUUUCAAAGUUGUAUUUUUCAAGAGGUGUUGGAACAUUUUUCUCCAUAAGGAUCACAGGUGGGAAACUCUUCAUAUACUGCUUCUACAAGUUGGAAAUUUUCCUUGUUUGAGGAUAAUGCAGAAAACAUUCAGUCCUCCAUGUUUGGUUGCUUUAUUUCUUCCUUUAGCCACAUUGCAGAGAACUUUCUAGAAAAGAAUUAAGAAUAUGCACCAAGAAACUCAUCACCACAACUGAGCACACAAUGGUGAGCAAGGUUAUCUCUAAAAUUGUACUCUAUACAUUUUUAAUACUCAAAAAGAAACAUCAAUGUGUCUCAUUUUCUAAUUUGUUAGAGAACAUGUCUGGUAACUGAUUAAACAAGCUAUAAAACACGGGGACCAAAGAGCCUCCAAGAACUUGAAAGACAUAUUACUUGGAUAAGCAAGUAACUCAUGAAAGUGAUGCUAUAGGAAAGAAUUUCUGUACAUCCUCCAUGGCUUGGUCCAAGUGAUGAGCCCUUUUCCAGUCCUUCUCAACAGACUUUAUGACCUACGUCGCCUAUUCCUCUCCUUAAUUCAUUAAACUGCAUUAAUUCAAACUAAUUAUCAUUUAAGCCUUUGACUCUAAAUUUCCUGGAUGAAAAUUUUGGAAUCUCUGAGUCAGAUGAACGUAUUACAUAAGUGCGCCCCAAGGAUUCACAAGCAGAAAACACAUCUUAGCGCUCAGUAAUGCCAGGGGACAUUCUUUUAGGGCAUCAUUCCUCCCUGAUUAUCAUUUUAUCUUCGCUCUUCAGUUGCAAGUCUUUCAUGAAGAAUUUGGGCAACGUUUUAAUUUAAAAAAAUUCCACCAUGCUACUUACAAACAUCAUUUUAAAAAACCUUUUAUUCAAUGGUAUACACAUUCAAGUAACAUUUGAAAUUUUUAAAAUAUAUGCUCAGAAGCAUGUGAACCUGCUGCUCUUGGUUAUUUACCUCACACACCCGGCUCAUGGUCACGUGCCCUUCAGGAGCCUAUUCCUGGAACCCCAUUUGGCAGUUUACCCAACAGAGCAAAAUUAAAAUUUAGAUCCUAGCCCCAAAAUGUUAUGUAACCAAAGCUUUGGUUUUUUGUGACCUUGAAGCGCUAGGUCAAGCCAAACAGCUUGAAUGUAAUUGUGUUUAACUGGAAACUCUGUGUCUGUACAUUUUUAAUGUCCCCAGAUUGCCACAUGAGACUCAGUCUUUAAAUGGGAUCCUUCUGAAGAGCAGAUUUCUUUGGGAGACAGGAUGAGGUAAAUAUGUAGAGACUAAUAUGACACAUGACUGUUUUGCAGGAUGACGCAACCAUGCAGUUGUUUUGUGAUUACCAAGCUCAUGAAGAAUGAACAAUAGACAUUGGAUGCAUUGGUUCAUGCUGUAGCCGCUGUAAUCAGGAAGCUGUGGGAGGAAGAACCCAAGUAGGAAGCCAAUCUGGAUACAUAGGGAUAGCCUGUCUAAGAAAACUAAAAAACUGUAUUCUGAAUACAACCCAAUGGCUUAAAGUAUCACUUAUAAGGAAACUGUAAACUUGCAAAACACUUAGAUUAUUUUUCUAAGGUUCCAAAGUAAGUGUAAUCGGUAAAGUUAAAAACUGUGGAGACAAUUAAGAGCAUGUAUGAGUCAGAUACUGGAAGCCUAGAAAGGAUCAAAAUUUAGAUCAAACAUGGGUUCUACUAAGGAUAUGCCCCCUAGCACUGUUUGGUCAAAGACCCACUAAUAUAUCCACCAAUAAUAAAGAGAACCUGUUCAAGUGUGUGUGUGCUGGAAUGACGCUCUUUGCUUUUCCAUUUUUUCCUGUCCAUUUGCCAGUACCAUUCCUUCUUAGUAUUUGUCGUGGUGGAAUGAUGUUCUGAGGACGUCUGAGCAUUCUUACAGAAUGAAUGAAGCACAGAUCCUGCUCAUUCUUCCUGUGUCCACUAUCCACACCAAAAGAAGAUCUACCCAAGUCGAAACCAUCACUCCAUCUGUUACUAUCACUCUUUGGAGUUCAGGACCCCAUCUGCUCCCAAGAGAGCAUGGUUGAAGGUCAGGGGUGGAGUCAGGAACAUUGGUUAGCAUGUUCAGCCCGAGUAGCUGCUGAGUCAGCAUCCAUUACAUCAUUUCUGCUCAUUCCCCAGGCCCUUCUCCAGGUCAUGCUGGACUCCUCCCUGCCAUGUGUCCUGCUCUUGGUGUCACCCUGUUCUUUGGCCCCAGUCUCCUCCUGCCGUCCUCAGAUGGAGGCAGACUCCAUGGAUGCCUGUCUUCUGUAUCUGGUAAACAGACACAGGAAAAUUGCUAGUUCAAAGUCAGCUAGAGCCACAAGGUCCCACUUCACAUUCUGAGUAACUGUCCCAGCUUCUGGAGAGCAAACAGAACAUGCUAAGGACCGUGACAUGGGAAGGUCAGUAGAGACAUCUAUUCUCCCAGUGAUGCUCAUACGGAAACAAUGUGUGACUGAAGUCAAAUGGAAAUACAAAAGCGUAUUUAUUCCUGGUCUAUGCAGUUCCUUGGACACCUGAUACCUCUCUCCUGCUAACAAGAGUUUCAACAAUGUUCACACACACAGAUGCCCCCAACUGGAGACAUAUCUAUAAAAAAAAUCUAUGAUGAAUUUUACUUGGAGCUAUAACAGCAAAAGUUCAAACAAUAUGCAUUCUUGAAAAACAGAAGAGUAAAAAAUAAAAGAUUACUGUAAUAUCCCAAA
rnacentral:sRNA from 1 species